rnacentral:rRNA from 1 species
UCUACGGCCAUACCAUCCUGACCAUGCCUGGUCUAGGAAGCUAAGCAGGGUCGGUUGUGGUUAGUACUUGGAUGGGAGAAUGCCAAGACUUCAACAUCAGUAUAA